rnacentral:rRNA from 1 species
ACGCUGGCGGCAGGCCUAACACAUGCAAGUCGAGCGGAAACGACACUAACAAUUCUUCGGGUGCGUUAAUGGGCGUCGAGCGGCGGACGGGUGAGUAAUGCCUAGGAAAUUGCCUUGAUGUGGGGGAUAACCAUUGGAAACGAUGGCUAAUACCGCAUAAUGCCUACGGGCCAAAGAGGGGGAUCUUCGGRCCUCUCGCGUCAAGAUAUGCCUAGGUGGGAUUAGCUAGUUGGUGAGGUAAUGGCUCACCAAGGCGACGAUCCCUAGCUGGUCUGAGAGGAUGAUCAGCCACACUGGAACUGAGACACGGUCCAGACUCCUACGGGAGGCAGCAGUGGGGAAUAUUGCACAAUGGGCGAAAGCCUGAUGCAGCCAUGCCGCGUGUAUGAAGAAGGCCUUCGGGUUGUAAAGUACUUUCAGUUGUGAGGAAGGGGGUAACGUUAAUAGCGUUAUCUCUUGACGUUAGCAACAGAAGAAGCACCGGCUAACUCCGUGCCAGCAGCCGCGGUAAUACGGAGGGUGCGAGCGUUAAUCGGAAUUACUGGGCGUAAAGCGCAUGCAGGUGGUUCAUUAAGUCAGAUGUGAAAGCCCGGGGCUCAACCUCGGAACUGCAUUUGAAACUGGUGAACUAGAGUGCUGUAGAGGGGGGUAGAAUUUCAGGUGUAGCGGUGAAAUGCGUAGAGAUCUGAAGGAAUACCAGUGGCGAAGGCGGCCCCCUGGACA